ACAGGAGCAGGCCGUAGGCUCUGGGAGUACACAGGCUGUAGGCUUCGUUGCCGUGGUGACAGGAGCAGGCCUCAAGGCUCUGGGACUAGACAGGCUGCAGGCCUUGUUUCCAUGGCAACAGGAGUAGGCCGUAGGCUUGGCUUCCGUGGUGAUAGGAGCAGGCUGCAGGCUUGGUUUCCAUGG